rnacentral:rRNA from 1 species
CCUACGGGAGGCAGCAGUAGGGAAUUUUCGUCAAUGGGCGCAAGCCUGAACGAGCGAUGCCGCGUGAGUGAAGAAGGCCUUCGGGUCGUAAAGCUCUGUUGCGGGGGAAAAAAGGCAGCAUCAGGAAAUGGGUGCUGACUGAUGGUGUCCCGCCAGAAAGUCACGGCUAACUACGUGCCAGCCGCCGCGGUAAUACGUAGGUGGCGAGCGUUAUCCGGAAUGAUUGGGCGUAAAGGGUGCGCAGGCGUUCCUGCAAGUCUGGAGUGAAACGCAUGAGCUCAACUCAUGCAGGGCUUUGGAAACUGGAGAACUUGAGUGCGGGAGAGGGAGGCGGAACUCGAGGUGUAGCGGUGAAAUGCGUAGAUAUAAGGAAGAACACCAGUGGCGAAGGCGGCCGCCUGGGCCGUUGCUGACGCUGAGGCACGAAAGCGUGGGGAGCAAAUAGGAUUAGAUACCCUAGUAGUC